GAUGAACGCUGGCGGCGUGCCUAAUACAUGCAAGUCGAGCGAACAGAUGAGGAGCUUGCUCCUCUGACGUUAGCGGCGGACGGGUGAGUAACACGUGGAUACCCUACCUAUAAGAGUGGGAUAACUUCGGGAAACCGGAGCUAAUACCGGAUAAUAUAUUGAACCGCAUGGUUCAAUAGUGAAAGACGGUUUUGCUGUCACUUCUAGCUGGAUCCGCGCCGCAUUAGCUAGUUGGUAAGGUAACGGCUUACCAAGGCAACGAUGCGUAGCCGACCUGAGAGGGUGAUCGGCCACACUGGAACUGAGACACGGUCCAGACUCCUACGGGAGGCAGCAGUAGGGAAUCUUCCGCAAAGGGCGAAAGCCUGACGGAGCAACGCCGCGUGAGUGAUGAAGGUCUUCGGAUCGUAAAACUCUGUUAUUAGGGAAGAACAAAUGUGUAAGUAACUAUGCACGUCUUGACGGUACCUAAUCAGAAAGCCACGGCUAACUACGUG
rnacentral:rRNA from 1 species